UACACUCCUACGGGAGGCAGCAGUGGGGAAUAUUGGACAAUGGGCGCAAGCCUGAUCCAGCCAUGCCGCGUGAGUGAUGAAGGCCCUAGGGUUGUAAAGCUCUUUCACCGGUGAAGAUAAUGACGGUAACCGGAGAAGAAGCCCCGGCUAACUUCGUGCCAGCAGCCGCGGUAAUACGAAGGGGGCUAGCGUUGUUCGGAUUUACUGGGCGUAAAGCGCACGUAGGCGGACUAUUAAGUCAGGGGUGAAAUCCCGGGGCUCAACCCCGGAACUGCCUUUGAUACUGGUAGUCUUGAGUUCGAGAGAGGUGAGUGGAAUUCCGAGUGUAGAGGUGAAAUUCGUAGAUAUUCGGAGGAACACCAGUGGCGAAGGCGGCUCACUGGCUCGAUACUGACGCUGAGGUGCGAAAGCGUGGGGAGCAAACAGGAUUAGAUACCCUAGUAGUCCCAU
rnacentral:rRNA from 1 species